UUGGUCUUGGCCAUGUGGUUACCGCAACAGAAUUAAAAUCUGUUUCAGGCAAGUUCGAAACUUGCCGACGAAU